rnacentral:rRNA from 1 species
AAAGGGUGCGUAGACGGGAAAUUAAGUUAGUUGUGAAAUCCCAUGGCUCAACUGUGGAACUGCAACUAAAACUGAUUUUCUUGAGUACUGGAGAGGAAAGUGGAAUUCCUAGUGUAGCGGUGAAAUGCGUAGAUAUUAGGAGGAACACCAGUGGCGAAGGCGACUUUCUGGACAGUAACUGACGUUGAGGCACGAAAGUGUGGGGAGCAAACAGGAUUAGAUACCCUGGUAGUCCACACCGCAAACGAUGGAUACUAGGUGUAGGGUGUGAUGAACAUUCUGUGCCGUCG